CUUGGUGAUUUGAGCGGCGAGGGUACACCCGGUCCCAUCCCGAACCCGGCAGUUAAGCUCGCCAGCGCCGAUGGUACUGCCCUGGUAGCGGGGUGGGAGAGUAGGUCAUUGCCAAGG
rnacentral:rRNA from 1 species